UUAGCUUUUACACCAUGUUUUUGGCGAGUUUCGAUAUUUUUGAAGAAAAAUGACGAAAAUGCCCCUGUGAGCCAGAAAGUAAUAUUUUAUUGUUUUGAUUUGGAAAUGACUUAUGAUUUUUUUGAAAUGUGAGAUUUAAUAACUGUCGCUCACUGGGGAGAUGCGGAAGCUGAUGCUAAGCCUUGCGGGGUUUCGAUCGGCAUUCGAGAUAAUGAGUGCCUAUCGGGACGUCGCGACUGUUGUCA
rnacentral:lncRNA from 1 species